ensembl:snoRNA
AUUCUUUUAUACUUCAUAAGCAUGACGAUUGGGUGUUCAGACCGUUGUGUGACAUGUGCCACCCUUAAACCUUGUCAUGACGCAGGCACAUUACCUGUCCGACA